rnacentral:rRNA from 1 species
AUUGAACGCUGGCGGCAUGCCUUACACAUGCAAGUCGAACGGCAGCGGGCCUUCGGGUGCCGGCGAGUGGCGAACGGGUGAGUAAUGCAUCGGAACGUGCCAUUGAGUGGGGGGAUAACGUAGCGAAAGUUGCGCUAAUACCGCAUAUUCUGUGAGCAGGAAAGCAGGGGACCGCAAGGCCUUGCGCUCUUUGAGCGGCCGAUGUCAGAUUAGCUAGUUGGUGAGGUAAAGGCUUACCAAGGCGACGAUCUGUAGCGGGUCUGAGAGGAUGAUCCGCCACACUGGAACUGAGACACGGUCCAGACUCCUACGGGAGGCAGCAGUGGGGAAUUUUGGACAAUGGGGGCAACCCUGAUCCAGCCAUGCCGCGUGAGUGAAGAAGGCCUCGG